rnacentral:rRNA from 1 species
UACGGAGGGUGCAAGCGUUAUCCGGAUUCACUGGGUUUAAAGGGUGCGUAGGCGGAUUGGUAAGUCCGUGGUGAAAUCCCCGAGCUUAACUUGGGAACUGCCGUGGAUACUAUCAGCCUUGAAUAUCGUGGAGGUAAGCGGAAUAUGUCAUGUAGCGGUGAAAUGCUUAGAUAUGACAUAGAACACCAAUUGCGUAGGCAGCUUACUACUCGAUCAUUGACGCUGAGGCACGAAAGCGUGGGGAGCAAACAGG